AGUGAACGCUGGCGGUAGGCCUAACACAUGCAAGUCGAACGGCAGCACAGUAAGAGCUUGCUCCUACGGGUGGCGAGUGGCGGACGGGUGAGGAAUACAUCGGAAUCUACUUUUUCGUGGGGGAUAACGUAGGGAAACUUACGCUAAUACCGCAUACGACCUACGGGUGAAAGCAGGGGAUCUUCGGACCUUGCGCGAUUGAAUAAGCCGAUGUCGGAUUAGCUAGUUGGCGGGGUAAAGGCCCACCAAGGCGACGAUCCGUAGCUGGUCUGAGAGGAUGAUCAGCCACACUGGAACUGAGACACGGUCCAGACUCCUACGGGAGGCAGCAGUGGGGAAUAUUGGACAAUGGGCGCAAGCCUGAUCCAGCCAUACCGCGUGGGUGAAGAAGGCCUUCGGGUUGUAAAGCCCUUUUGUUGGGAAAGAAAAGCAGCAGGUUAAUACCCCGCUGUUCUGACGGUACCCAAAGAAUAAGCACCGGCUAACUUCGUG
rnacentral:rRNA from 1 species